AGAAUCAACGCUGGCGGCGUGCCUAACACAUGCAAGUCGAACGCGAAAGGGGAGCAAUCCCUGAUUAGAGUGGCAAACGGGUGAGUAACACGUGGGUGACCUGCCUUCGAGUGGGGGAUAACCUUCCGAAAGGAGGGCUAAUACCGCAUGACAUACCGUGUUUGGAUACACGGAUAUCAAAGCCGGGGAUCGCAAGACCUGGCGCUUGGAGAGGGGCCCGCGUCCGAUUAGCUAGUUGGUGAGGUAACGGCUCACCAAGGCUCCGAU
rnacentral:rRNA from 1 species